rnacentral:rRNA from 1 species
AACGAACGCUGGCGGCAGGCCUAACACAUGCAAGUCGAACGCCCCGCAAGGGGAGUGGCGCACGGGUGAGUAACGCGGGGGAAUAUGCCCUUCGGUUCGGAAUAACACAGGGAAACUUGUGCUAAUACCGGAUACGAUCUACGGAUGAAAGAUUUAUCGCCGAGGGAGUAGCCGGCGUAGGAUUAGCUAGUUGGUGAGGUAAUGGCUCACCAAGGCGACGACCCUUAGCUGGUCUGAGAGGAUGAUCAGCCACACUGGGACUGAGACACGGCCCAGACUCCUACGGGAGGCAGCAGUGGGGAAUAUUGGACAAUGGGCGAAAGCCUGAUCCAGCCAUGCCGCGUGAGUGAUGAAGGCCUUAGGGUUGUAAAGCUCUUUCGCCAGGGAAGAUAAUGACGGUACCUGGAAAAGAAGCCUCGGCUAACUCCGUGCCAGCAGCCGCAGUAA